rnacentral:rRNA from 1 species
GCCUACGGGACGCAGCAGUAGGGAAUCUUCCCCAUUGGGCGAAAGCCUGAUGGAGCAACGCCGCGUGGGUGAAGAAGGUCUUCGGAUCGUAAAACCCUGUUGUUAGAGAAGAAAGUGCGUGAGAGUAACUGUUCACGUUUCGACGGUAUCUAACCAGAAAGCCACGGCUAACUACGUGCCAGCAGCCGCGGUAAUACGUAGGUGGCAAGCGUUAUCCGGAUUUAUUGGGCGUAAAGAGAACGCAGGCGGUCUUUUAAGUCUGAUGUGAAAGCCUUCGGCUUAACCGGAGUAGUGCAUUGGAAACU